ensembl:snoRNA SNORD15 Small nucleolar RNA SNORD15
CUUCAGUGAUGAUUCGAUGACGAGUCGGAAAUGGACUCUGUCUCUACUGUGGUGUCUGGCUUAGGGUCACGUUUUGUGCCUUUGAGUCUAGUCCUCAGUGGAAAGGUGUUCUGCUCAGUUGAAGACAUAGAGGCAUUUGUCUGAGAAGG